GGCCUCUUGGUUGUAUUAGAGGUUUGGCCUGCCCGGUGAAGGAUUUUUAACGGCCGCGGUAUUUUGACCGUGCAAAGGUAGCAUAAUCAUUAGUUUUUUAAUAGGAGGCUGGAAUGAAGGGUUUAACGAAUUAAUAACUGUCUCUUUUAGAUUUAUUAGAAUUUAAUUUUUGAGUUAAAAAGCUUAAAUUUUAUUGGAAGACGAGAAGACCCUAUAGAGCUUUAUGAUUAAGGAUUUGAUUUAUUUUAUUAUUUUUAGUUAUAUUUUUAAUCAUUUUGUUGGGGUGACAAUAAAUAUAUAUUUAACUUUUAUAUUACUAUUACAUUAAUUUAUGAGUAUUAGAUCCUUUAUUAUUGAUCAUUAGAAUAAGCUACCUUAGGGAUAACAGCGUAAUCCUCUUUUGGAGUUCAAAUUUAUGAGAGGGCUUGCGACCUCGAUGUUGGAUUAAGAUUAUAAUUAGGUGCAGUAGCUUAAAAUAUGGGUCUGUUCGACCUUUAAAUUCUUACAUGAUCUGAGUUCAGACCGG
rnacentral:rRNA from 1 species